AUUAUUAUAGUUUAAAUUAUAAAACAUCAAAUUGCAAAUUUGAAGAUUAAUUAUUAUCAUCAUAAUUAUAAUAAUU
rnacentral:tRNA from 1 species